rnacentral:lncRNA from 10 species
AAAAAAUAGCCAGGAGUGGUGGUGUACAUCUGUAGUCCCAGCUACUCAGGAGGCUGAGGUGGGAGGAUUUCUUGGGCACAGGGGUUUGUGGCUGCAGUGAGCUAUAAUUGCACCAUUGUUCUCCAGGCUGCGUGACUGAGCAAGCCCCCGACUCUAGGUAGGUAGGUUGGUAGGUAGAUGAUAGAUUAGGUAGACUUGCAUGCAUGCAAGGAUUAGAUGAUAGACCAGAUAGGCUUGAAUGCGUGUGAGAAUAGAUGGAUAGAGACACAGAGAGAGAUAGGAUUGAGUGCAUGCAAGAAAAUAUUUUCUCACCAAAAAUCCAUCUAUGAUGGUAUGAUUCUCAUUUGAUGUUUGUAUUCAUAAGCACGUCAGAAAACCUCUAGAAUUAUUUAUGGUGUUUGGAGAGGGAGACAUAGGCAGACUGUAAAGGCCCUAAAGCAGAAGCAUCAAGCUUUUGGGGAUCUUCGAGGCCAGAGUAUUUAAGACAAAGAAUAUCUUUCAGACAUCUUAGGGUGUAGAUGAGAAAAACAGUUUCAAUACAUUGUGCUAAUUUCUGUGAUAAAAGGAAGUACCAGGUUGUUCAGGAUUCAUUGGAAGGGCACCCACAUGGGUGGGAAAUUAGGAACUUAUGUCCCCAUUAUUUAAAUUAUAAUAAUAGCUACUACUUUAAGUGACACUUACUACACUAUUGGCAUUAUUUGAAGCACUUUUGGGAUAUUAAUUCAUUUAUUCCUGACAACAAUCACUAUGAGGCAGAUACUAUUAUUCCCAUUUUACAGAUAAGAAAAUUGAAGUUGGUUUAAAUUACUUUCCAAACCAAUGAGUGGUGGAGCUCAGAUUCAUACCUCGGCAGCCAAACUCCAGAGUAUAAGUCAGUCAGAUACAUCAUGUAUGGUUAUAAUAAAAACAUAAAAUAAUACUUGUUUUCUAUCUUUAAAAUCUUAGGAGCCAUAGUUUCUAACAGAGUGAUGUAAAUGUUUUCAUUUUUGUAUAUUGUAUAACUUUGAACACAGUUGUAUACAGAGAGGCUAUGUUAUUUGUGUAAGGUCAAAAACUAGUAAGUUGGGGUGUCAGAAUUCAACAUCUGGCAGUCUGGCUUCUGAAUUCAGACAUUUGUCAGGUAAAGGAGAUAUAGGUGGAGUGGUUAAACAAAAAUGAUCAAGUUUUGAAGGGUGUUGUGUUUCCUGUUUAUGAGGAGCCAUUGGAGCCCUUAGGACUUGAUUAGCUCAGAUGUGUGUGUUGAAAGAUCACCCUGGGUCAAUGUACAGAAGG